UUCCCAACAGAAGGCAGAUUUUGUCACUCCCACCCAAAGGACACUUGGCAAUCGCGAUGGACAUUUUGGAUUGUCAUAACUAGAGGGUGCUACUCGUGUCUGGUGUGUAGAAGCCUGGGAUGCCGAUAAGCUUCCUACAAUGCACAGGACAGCCACAACAACCAGGAAUUAUCCCCCUCAAAAUGUCAAUAGUGCCAAGGUUGAGAAAUCCUGAUUUAGGGGCUCUUUUGCGGGUCAUUGAUCUUACUGUCAAGGACUUAAUCUUCCAGGACCACUGAGAACAUUCUGUCUUCAGAAUAUCUAAGUUGGCUCUUUUGGAAGGUCCUGGUUAGCCCUGGUGGUUAAGGAGAACUUACAUUGAGUUGUUUUAGCAUAAAAUUACUUUUGCUUCAUGGCCAAAGCUUUUCCCCCAGAAAGCUACAUCACAAGUUUAUACUAUUUUCCCUAAAAGGGCUUCAGAAAAUCCAACACCAUAGUUGAGAAGCAUCAUUUUAUCCCAAGUACAAUGGGCUAUUACUACAAUUGGCCACCUAUUGUGAUGCUGCAUCAUUGCUGGGAUGAAAAUCUCUUUCUAUUUUAAAAUAUUAAUGCUUCCAACUUCCUGAGAUCAUUAUAAAAUAACGACAUCAUAAUCUGGGAAGACCCGCCAAAAAUCCUCCCAAAAUGAAGUUACGCAUGAAGUGGCCCUUCUCCUGCUGUCAUCCUGGAGCUCACCUGCAUACUCUGCACCCUCUGCCUUUGCGGUGAUGCUCUGUGGGCACCCCAGGCCCCCGAAGGCUCCAUCCAUUUUGUGCUGCAGCUUUACACAUGACUUCUGGCUGCUUAUGGAAAAUAUCAGCAUCGGGUGUUUUUCUGCUAAAGCAGAACUGAGGUCGAGGGAAGCAGGAGCUGCCUGUUCUUGUUCAACUUUUAUCGAUGAAAAACUUUGGGCCUUGUCUUGUCAAUCUCCACACGAGGCGCGGCUCAUUAGAGGCCCUCUGUGGACGAUUCCAGUGUUCCUGUGUGUUUGAUCUUCGGAGAUAAGUAGAACCAGCCCUGCUGACUGGCUCUGUGGUGCGGCGUUCUUCCUGGCAACGGGUGUCUUCUGAGACUGAUGUAAUUCUUUCAAGAUUGAUGUUUCCAUUAUGACACAGGAGCGCUGCGUGUUUGAGGUGUGUUGAACUCAGUGAACUACCACCACCCUUGCUCUCUGGUCUCUCUCCCUCUGUUUUACUUUCAGGCACACUGUCUGUUGAGUUUUUUUUGUCUUCCCCAGGAAUGAUGGGAUGCCAGCUGAUGUCUGAACAGAAAUUCGCAGCACCCUUCAUAUCUGAGGAGGAAAGAAGGGCACUGUUCAUCCACAUCUACGAUUAGCUACUUGGGAAGUCUACCUGACCUGAGCAAAGACGAAAUGCCUAUAUUUGACCCUACAAUUACAUGGCCCAUGAAGCAAUACAACAUGAUUGGCUGAGGAACACCCCAAGAUUGUGUUCCAUCCCUAGAGCAUCUGUAUAAUGGGAACAAGAAGGGCACUUACCUUGUGUGAUUCUUCUGAAGAUUUCAUUUUGGACCUGUGCUUUCACAGUGUAAGGAGUGCAGAAGCAUUGGGACUUGGUAGCUCUUCCUCCUCUUCUUUCAAGAGCAUUGAA